rnacentral:lncRNA from 1 species
AAAACUUCACAGGGGAAUGCAUGAUUUCAGCAAUUUUGUCAUUCUUCGUUGUCCGUCUUGAAAACAGUUGACGAGUGAACACCGAGGCGCCGAAACAUUCCAUCUAACAAGGGAACUGUUGGCUCCAGAUAAUGGACCUCAAAUUUUAUGGCACCCUGAUCGAAGGUUCCUCUGGAAGAUAUAGUUAUGUACUUUAGAGUAGUUGUCAUAGCCAUUUAGUAGGGGUUGGGAUAGCCAACCAUUCAGACUGUUCUACACUGCAAAUCUUCUUGUUUUUCUUCAGGCUGUUGUACACUGCUCAAGUCACCUGUUCAUCUAUGUAUACGCAGUUAUUUAGUAUACAAUCAUCUAUGCUACUACUGUCUUGGUUCUCUGAGAUGGCAGCACACAUCAACUAGUCUGCGAUAAAAACCAUUGUAGGUGUUCUAACAGAUCAUCGCAUGCAUCAUGCUAAUGGUAAGAGUACUGAAAAGAACUGGUAUUCUUUAGUCAUGAAAGUAAACAGAAACAUCUGUCACCAGAAGGGUGAUUAUGAAUAUUUCAGAACACCCACAAGUUAUGCCAAAUCAAAAAACAAAUAAAUCCUAUGUACCUCCUCCUAGAUUGUGCAUCCUACACGGCCACUAGUUCUGACGACUUCUUCGCCUCCAGCCAGUGCUUGGCAGCAACGCUCGUCGUCAGGAACCAGCCGGCCUUGUCGGGAGCGCCAUGGAAGGGCGCGUCGAGCUCCUUGAGAUGCGACUCGAACACGGAGGCCAGCCCUUUGUCAGAGUACAUGUUCCUCCCCUCCCCUGUGUGGAUUCCGAGCAGCGGUGGCAGCUCUUCUCCGCUCUGAAGCGUCGUGUACAGGUCGUUCAUCCAGACAUGGAGAGUGGUCAGGGCAGCGCCGACCGAGAGGCCUCUGAGGUGCAGCGACCACUGCGUCUGCGUCCUCGUCUGCACGUUGCUGUAGAUGCCGAGCUGCAGCGCGGCGUCGAGGAGCGCGCAGGCUUUCUCCAUCUGCCCCAGGUUCACGCACAGGUCCAUCAAGCAGUUGCAGUAGGGCAUCUUCACCACGCCACGGACGCCGCUCAGGAUGCCCCUAGCUGCCUCCUUGAAGGAUUCAGUGGAGGCUUUCCUGUCCGCCAGGAGCUUCACCACGGUGCCAAGCUCGGCAUUGCUUCUGUCGAUGCAGUCAACCACCUUGCCGAGCUCCUCCACCGGCGUAUCCGCUGCCACGGUAAGAAGGCAGCCGCAGAACCGGUCGUCGGGCGUGAUUUUGAGGUCCUCUAGCAUGCCGAAUGACCUGACAACGUCGUCGGUGCAUCCCGCUUUACCGUAGCACCGGAUGAGCGAGGUGAGGAUGAAGAUGUUGGGCUUGAAACCUGCCUCUGUCAUCUCCUUCAGUAUGGCCUCUGCACCAGGGACAUUGCCAGUGCAGGAAUAUAAUGUCACCAUUGAUGAGUAGGUCCAGCUAUCAGGCUUGCACUUGGUGUCCAUGGACGACUUCAUGUCUCUGAAGAUCUCCUCGGCCUCGUCGACGUAGCCGAUGUCGGCGCACAUUGACAGGAGCAUGUUGUACAGCACCACGUCGAUGUCCAUCACCUCGUCCUUCGUCUUCCGGUACACGAUCAUCGCGUCCUCACCGUAGCGUGCCCUGGUGUACGCCUGCAGGAGACAACAGUAGGUUGCCCUGUUGGGCUGCACCUUCUGGCUGACCAUCUCUCUGUGGAUGGUCUUCACUACCCACGGCCGCAUGGCACGGCCCAUGGCGUCCAAUACGGUGUUGUACACGACCAGGUUUGGCUUGACGCCGACGGCCUUCAUUUCCUCAAACACGUUGAGCGCGCCGUCGAAGUUGCCGCUGGUCGAAUGCACCUUGAUCACCGUGCCGCAUAUGACAGGGUCGAGCUGGCAUCUCUCAGACCUGGCACGGUCGUACAAGCGGAGUGCCAUCUCGGCGUCCCCGGCGCGGCCGUACGCGUCGAUCACGACCGAGUACGUGAGCAUGUCCGGCGAGCACCCCGACUCCGGCAUCUUCUCGAACCACUCCACGGCCUUGCCGGGCGGGCCGCAGGCGCGCGCGCAGCUGAUGACGGUCGAGAAGGUGGUGUUGUCCGGCUGCACGCCGUCCCGCAGCAUCGCGUCCCAGAGCGCCUCCGUUUCGCUCCAGCGCCGCCGCUUGCGCAGCACCUUGAACACGACGUUGUAGAGGAUGACCUUGCUGCGGACAUCCGCGUUCUCCAGGAACCAGCGCAGCGCGAGCACGGCGGUGGCCGGGUUGCCGGCGGCCGUGUUGAGCACGAUGGCGGCGUCCUGCUCGGAGGGGGUCUCGGGGAAGGCGGCCUCGAGCGCGGCGGCGACGGGCGCCUCGGCGGGCUCGCACGCGGCGAGCGCUGCAGCCGCGGCGGCGAGGCGGGCCCGGCGGCCGGAUCCGGCGCGCGCGCGGGCGAGUUCGGCGGCACGCGGGCUGUUGGGGUUGACCCAGAGGAACCUCGCAGUGCUGGAAAUCUUGGGAUUCUGGCCCGGGUCGGAGGGAGGCGCCGGGUCCUGGGGCGGCGAGUCCUGGACGGAGACAUGUGCGGCGGCCGGCGAGGCGGAGGAGGAGUGGUUCUUGGGCUGGAAGGAGAGCGAGAUUGGGCGGUGCGGCCAUGAGAGGAAGGAGGAAGGGGACGACGGGCAGAUAGGUAGGGAAGCCAUCUCGCUGCUCUGCCCCGCUCUGCUCUCCUGUGGGUGGAUUGUGGGGUGCCCACUGCCCAGAGCUUCGCUUCGGUUGGGGAGUGACGACGCGACUGUGUCUUGCUGUCAGCAAGUGGGGUCGAGAUGCCAGGGACACCUCGCGUCAGAGCGAGGCGAGGCGCUCUUCCCGCCGCUCCUCGUGAGGUGAGACCCCAAACUGCCAAAGUACACACGAGACACGCCGCGCCGCGCCGCGUCCCUCGCACUCCACCGCCGCGGCGGCGCCACCGCCCCGGGCUCGCCUCCCUCGCCGACCGACCGGCACCUUCUCAUCCUCACCGACUACCCGCCGGGCUCCUACCCGCGCCUACCCCGCUCGACGCGUUCCCGAACUCCUCUCGAGCCCACCACCGCCGCGGCGGCGGGAUCGGCGUCGGAUUCACGCACGCCGUCCAUGCCACCGAGCCGUGCGGUGCAGCCGCUCCCGCGUGUGAUCCUGCGCGGCCCGGUCGUGCACUGGAUGGAUCGCGGCGAAGCGUGGGCUGCCAUUGCCUGGCCUCGGGCGUGUGAUUUACCCGGGCAAAGUCGUCUUCUCUCACGAGGGCGCGGUAGGUGUUCGACGAAAUAGACGAGCCCGGAGUUUCUCCCCGGGAUCAAUCGUGUUUCAGGAGCUUCUAGUGCUCGAGAGUGGCUUACCUGCAGCUUUGUGUUCCAUGGUCGCAGGUUCUGUACGGCGCGCGACUGAAUUUCAGGGCAUGAUGCAUCAGUGACCAAUUUCUAGCACAAAGCUGCCCAGUUAUACAAUCUGCAGUUCUGCCCAGGUACUAUGGACGGGAGAGCCAGUUUUGAGCCUUUGCGUUUGUUGUUUAGGAUGCUACUUAGUCUUGUAGCAAAGAUGUUGAUGUUUGUACCAUUACAAAGUAAGCUUCAGUUAGCUAAAUAUAAACCAUUCUGAUGGUAAUGGUACCUCCGAAUGAUACAUUAUAUGUUAUGUGUAAAACUCACAGAAAUGGUAGGCCUAUAUUAGUAGGGAAGUUACGCAAACCAAAUAGUUCCUACACACAGAACUGCCUACAUGAUGUGAGCCAAGGAUGACGUUAGCCGAUCUUUAUUAAACAGAAGGGAGAGUUUACAGGUACAAUACUUAAAUGGUUGGGAUUCCACUUCCGUUCAUGUCGUUUCCCCAAAUCAAUGAGCCUGUAUGUUCAUAGAAACAUAUGUGCUUAUGUAACGAAAGUUUUGAUUGUAAAUUGGGGUGAGUAGCGUGCAUUGACGCCUCGAUUCGGGGCUCAAAAUUUCAGUCUCCGAGUUCCUCUUUUUUUUUUUUGAAUUUUGUUUCUCUUCCUUUUCAUCUCAUUUCUAGCUGAGCCUUGUGCUUUUUAUGGUACUUGCUGCCCUAUAGUCAUCAAGCAUAGUAUCAAUUGUAACCUUUUCUUAAAUUGAGCAAUUUUUCUGACCAAUAUUGUUACCCUCUGAGUUUUAUUCCCUUGUUUUAAUUCUUUUUAUCCAUUUUACAAACGUAGUGACAUACUUGAAGGAAGAAAACUUAAUGGAAAACAAACUUCUAGAAUGGUAGAGAAGUGACAGGACAGAUACUUGCUAUUUUUUUGAAGCUCAUGAUUUUUUUUGGAAUCAGUGCACAGUAACAGCAAGCACCCAUAUAACUCUUUUCUUUUGCGUGGAAGCACUCAUAUAACUGCUGCAUUAUCAGCUGUGUGUGCAUAAAAACCAUUGGAGAUCAUCGCUGCCGUAGAACCAGAGCAUGGAUACAGGAGUCAAGGUAGUAGGAUUGUUAGAGAUCACGAGCACAAUUUCGUUCCCAGAGGUUCGUUAUCUCAAAUAAAGCACUAAAUGGUAUCACUGUAAGUGGAAAUCGAUAAUAUUUCCACUUCUCUAGUACUCACUCAAAUUGAAAUUACAUGAUAGAGAAUGAAAACUGGCAUAACAAGUUGGGUGGGACCCUGCUGAACAUUCAGAUUCGGGUAUCAUACAAUGCCCAUACUCUCAGGUAGCCAAUCAGCCACAGUUCAUACCUCGCUUCAACAACAGUUCUGGUAGUAAGAAAUGUGAGGGUUCUGGUUCAACUAUAACGUUCAAUUCCAAGUAGUCAGAUUAUUUUUCAUUGUACUGGAGAAUCGGGCUAAGUGGUGUAGUCGAUUUGUGUAAGAGAUCUUUCUAUGAUCAUGGAAGAAUAGUUCUGUAAUAUACAAUGUGUGGGCUGUCCAGUGUUAAUAACUUUUAAACUUAAAGCUAGAAGCAUUAUCGCUAUGCAAUCUUUCAUCUAAUUAUUUCAGCCAGUCAAGCAUGAACUCAUGUUUGUCAUGAAUAUUGCAGGCUGCAAACACUGGGGAACGUCAUCACAAGGUUUGUACGUCUUUAAGUGCCCUUUGGGAACAACAUGUCAACUCAUUCAGUCUGUGAAGUUCCCCUUUUCUGUUUGGUACACUCAUGGUUAAAUAUUUCUAUAGUAGCAUAAUACAAUGAAUGCAUGGAAUGGUGUUUGGUGUUCCCAAAUGGAUGUGUGUUGGUCAUGAUGUUGUCCACCACUGGUGGUUCUCAUGAUGGUGCUCAUUAAAAGGACAAUCUUAAAUUGCUAAUCCUUUUGUGGAAAAAUUGUUUACCAAGUUCACCUAACAACUAAUGUUGAAGUUGGUAAAAUUAUUUUUUUCUAUUCCAUUACAUACUGUUAAAUUUGAAUACAUUCAUGCAGAAACUAUUUCACUAUUUGUAGUUGUACCGGUGUGUGCUUCCGCUAUCUUACCUAUAUAAUGUUUCUUGGGAAUUAACAUAUGUGCCCAUUCUCUCACCUCAUGUAACUUUUACUACAUUUUAUUCCAGUUCUAUUUUUCAUCUUUGAGUCAUUGUCAUCCUUCAUGUUUGGGUUAUGAACUAAGGACUAAGUAAUGUUUGUGCUACUUUAUUUCAUUGCUAUUGUACAUUUGACCAAACUUUAGUAUUGGAGACACGGAACAUUUUCUCAUCUAGAAAUAUUUACCAAAAAAGGGAAAUGAAAGGAGAGUAGCAGCAAAUAGAUGUGUGACUUGCACAUUGGAUUCCGUGAGUUGAGGCAGUAAGGAGCAUGGGCCCAAGUUUUUUUUGGUGUCUUGUGAGCAUACAUGGUACUUUCUGUACCAAUGGUGUAUUUCCACAUACGAUAUAUAUAUGCUUGGUUUGCCUGACUGCGUGAGAAUGAAUAUUCAGUGGCUACUUAUGUAUGCAUGUGAAGUCACAUUCGUCGAUUUCAGAUAAUUUGCAUUAUUUCCGCCACUUUAAAAUGUGUUGUCCUGAAUAAUGCAAAGCAAAUAAUUCAUUGGCUUUAACAUCCCAUCUGAAAAGCAUAAUAUUAAUCUGUGUGCUAUGGUACCUAGACUGGCCCAUCUAGGCCCAACAGGUUCAAAGUUGCUGAUUUACGUAUCUUACGAAUCUGACUUAAAGUGAUAAUAUCGGGUCACACAAGUUUUAGGGCUUGAAGCUUUAUAAGUUUGAUAUUACUGAGGAUUUAUAAUUUUUAAUAGAAGAGACAUUAUUUAAGUCUAGCAGAGCAUGCCAUCUGAACUUUAAUCUACACUUUAUUCCAGGAAGUUAUGAGUUUCCUUAAUCAGAGUAGUUCUUGUCACUGUGCUCAUAUUUACCUGAUAUCUUCUCUUCUUCUGUUUUCGAACUGACGCUGGGGGAUUAUCGGAUUAGUUGGUUUCCCCUAUAUGCCUGCAGAGCAGAAUACCAUUUACUGUGGACGGGCACACUCGCAUCACAUCGGUCACUCUACUCAGUUUUAACUGACAUGUUUAUUCUGUUUUUUAACUGAUGUUGGGGGCUGCGUUUAAUCGACCAAUUAUUUGGUUUUCUUGUAGGGAAUGCUGGAUGGAACACCAGUUGCUGUAGACGGGCUGCACACGCAUCACAUCGGUCGUCCAACUCCAGUGUACGGCACAAGGCACAUGGGCGCCUGUCCUUGUGGAGCACGGCCAUUACAGGCUCAUGCUGAAACUAAGGUUAGCAGUUGCAAACUCUGACCUGGAAAACUGCACGGGUGAUCUGUUUUUUUUCGAGCUGGAGCUAGAACAAUACAUAGACUUCGGUGUCAGGAGGCCUGCCGUGUGUGUUCCUUGCAUGGUGAUGCCUGUUUAAGUGCCCAGCUUUUUUCGUGACCAGAUGAACCAGAAUUUAACUGGUGCAGUCUGCGCCAAAGCCUGCCAUUGCAUCAAUAAUACGAGCAUUGUACGUACAGACUGUAGCAUCUUCCUCGCCAGCCUAAUUGAAUCUGUGAAGGCCUUAGUCUGGGGCUCACAGGUUGGCUCCUGCAUGCCCUCAAGUUUUCAGAGUUCAGAGCUUCAGACCUCCGGCCCAGUCCCUACUCAUCUUCACGUCAAAUUAAAGAAAUGCACCCUGUAACUGAUACAUUAGAAUUCGUUUCCUGGCCCCGUGCAAUUUAGAAUGGACGCGGUGUUCCUGUGCUGCGGUGGCUGGUGACCAACCUAUUUAGCCUUUUUCUUUUUUCAGACGAAUAUCUAGCCUGCUUACACAUAGCUAGGGUUAGUACUGAUAGGUUGAUUGGCUAUGUAUAUGCAGUACAGUACACUAGUUAAAAUGGCUGGGAAAUCUUGGAGGUAAAUAAAGGCUCGCUGCCCGGCGAAGGACUUAUGUACGGGAGGGAGGGACCUCUAUGUACAGGAUGUGAUGCACAUUCAAAAGCCUAUCUGCUUAGUAUAACAUGGGUAUGUGGCUAGUAUGUACGGUUGCAAACACAGCAGCAAGAGACAUACUGGGAUAACUAGGGCUGCCAUGCAUCUCGAUCUAGUCUUGGGAACUGUUGGAGAUGAACGGGAGGUAUAGUAGUAUACGUAGGAUUGAUGGUGAUGUUAUAUCUGUUGGAAAUAUGCUCAACAUGUAUUCUCAUGGACUCAUAGGCCCAUAUGUACACACGUAUAGGUGAGGAAAUUGCACAGAAAACCCCUUAUACACUUGAAAAAAUACAAAGGAUGUUCACGGCUGUACAACAACACCCCCCUUCCCAUCCUUAGUUUGGAGAGAUAGAACCUAUGGUGUGCUCUAGUCUGGGCCUUGUGAAGAAAUCUGGACAAGGGAUGCCUACAAUCUAUAUGAGAGCGCCGUACGUGUAUGAUCUCAGACAGUGGCGGACCCAGGGAAAAAAUGAAGGGUGUGCACAAUUUGAAAAAAAUCUGCCUAAUCUAAGUGUCAUAUCAUAUAUGGCAAAAGAAUAACACAAAUAGCUCAAUCAAGUCUCACAAUAUUACGUUUCAGUAAAUAAUUUCAAAUUUGCAAAAUUACAAUACAAAUAAUUAUGAAAGAGACACAAGAAUACCUUUGGUUUGCCCUUCAGCUGCAACCUUCUUUAUUUGAACUCAUGUUUUCAACCAAAUGGACAUAAUAUUACCAAUCCUCUUUGUCUUUAGUUAUGCAAGUACAACAAAACAAGAGGUGUCCAACAAUUACAACAAAAUGGUGACGGUUGUUUUGUUCAAAGGAUAAAUAGUUUUUAUGUCAUUAAACAAACAAGAAUGUGGGCUUAAAUGGACUGCAAUGUCCUAUUUUCACGGACUAGAGGGCAACUGAUGCGGGUGAUCUAUGCAUCCAGCUGGUCAAUGGCAAGCAUUUCGGGGCGGAUGGCCGGUGGAGAAAGGAGGGGAAGGGACCGGGCGACAAUGCGAGCGGCCGAGAGGAGGGAAGAACGGGCAGCGGCGAUGUCCAAAACGCAGACGAGCAGUCGAGAUGAGUGAUUAGGUUUGGAUGGCUGGCUCCCGCAUUUGUGUCCGUGGACUGAUCCUGAUUUGUCCAUGGACAAAUGCGGCAGAAAAUUUAUGGGUCAACGUUGAAAAUAUCAAAUCUUGUUAUACCUAGAUUUUCUUUCCCCUCUCGCAAGGCGAUUAGGGAAAGCCUUCCUUCCUUCGAUCUUCACCGGCGAGUCCGUGCAUUUGCCUCCCCUUCGCCCGCCGCUCCGGCAGCCGGUGGAGGGGAGGGGAUUUCUCGUGUCUCGAAUCCCACUAAUAGAUAGGUAUGAUUUUAGUCCUCGCAGGGGCGGCGUUUGGACGUAUGGCGGUGCUUCUUCAUCGAGUCAGUCUUCCGGGCUACGACCCUCCUCAAGUUUGUCCGUUGGGACGGAUUAGACGGAGCUCCGGCGUAGAUCCCUGCCAGUUUCUCGGGGCGGCGAGGUUAGGUUUUCUUGUCGUGCGCACGCAACGGCGAUAUUUGGUGUCAGGUUCUUCAGAUCUAUUAAAGGAUUCAACGGCGAUGGCUACGGCUCUGGGGCGCUUGUCCUUAGGGGCACGUGCACGAAUACUUCCCAGCUGUCAUUGACAAGGUCAGACCGGCUCCGGUAGGGAGCGGCGGCUCGUUCUGGCGGCGGCUGGUCAUUCGGUGGUCCAUGGACCUCGAUGUAAUUUUUAUUAUGCUUGAGGUGUUUUGUACUUCCGAUGAAUCUUUAUAAUUGAUUUGAUCCUUUUUGCAAAAAAGAAACGUUGGAAAUAUCCCGUGGUAGAUCGAGAUUGUCUCGAAAAAUAAAGUGGUAGAUUCAAGAAUCCUAAUUUUUUUUUCUUUUUUUUGUUUGCAAUCUACACGAGUCGCCCCUAGAGUUCUCGUUGAGUUGAUCGAUGGAAUUGAUCUAGCUAGCUUCUUCCGGGCGCAUGUAUGUAUAGGAGUCUUUGGCUGGAUACACACGUAGUGCUGAUAGUAGAAAAAUCAAUCAAGCUGCUUCUAUGGUUUGCUAGAUUUGCAUGUACGUGUACGGCUUCAGAUGAAUUAGUUAUAGUACUGUAAAACCAACAAAAUCAGGAAAAUAUGACAUAUAGUGAAAAAUAUCUGCAAAAUGCUGGGUGUGCCACGGCACACCCGGCACACCCUCUAGGUCCGCCAAUGAUCUCAGACAAGAAAAGCGCAAGAGACAAAAAAAAAAA